rnacentral:rRNA from 1 species
AUUGAACGCUGGCGGCAUGCCUUACACAUGCAAGUCGAACGGCAGCGGACCUUCGGGUGCCGGCGAGUGGCGAACGGGUGAGUAAAGUAUCGGAACGUACCUUUCAGUGGGGGAUAACUGUCCGAAAGGACAGCUAAUACCGCAUAUUCUGUGAGCAGGAAAGCAGGGGAUCGCAAGACCUUGCGCUGAUUGAGCGGCCGAUAUCAGAUUAGCUAGUUGGUGAGGUAAAGGCUCACCAAGGCGACGAUCUGUAGCGGGUCUGAGAGGAUGAUCCGCCACACUGGAACUGAGACACGGUCCAGACUCCUACGGGAGGCAGCAGUGGGGAAUUUUGGACAAUGGGGGCAACCCUGAUCCAGCCAUGCCGCGUGAGUGAAGAAGGCCUUCGGUUGGUAAGUACUCUUUCGGUCCGGGAACGGAAAGUACG